rnacentral:lncRNA from 1 species
GCUGAAGCAGGAGAAGGAGGGGAAAAUUAACCGGCCUUCCAACUUUUGUCUGCCUCGUUCUAAAAUUUACACAGUAGACCAUUUGUCAUCCAUGCUGUCCCACAAAUAGUUGUUUACAAUUUAUGACAGGUUUAUGUUACUUCUAUUUGAAUUUCUAUAUUUCCCACGUGGUUUUUAUGUUUAAUAUUAGGGGAGUAGAGCCAGUUAACAUUUAGGGAGUUAUCUGUUUUCAUCUUGAGGUGGCCAAUAUGGGGAUGUGGAAUUUUUAUACAAGUUAU